GUUAUAUUUCUGACGCCUGUUACACACGUUUUGGAAAUUAUAAAAAAUAGCCAGUUAUAGCCACAUGUCCUAAAAUUUAAAAUACAACUAUCGGUACAAGCAGUGUACUAAAAAUCCGGAUCGGCGACAAGCAUCUCGAAGGCUAGCAAGAUGCAAGAGGUUCCUAGUGAAAUACCUAAGGCUGCCACCGAAUCCAAGGCCAAAUAUCGGUGUCAGUGGUUCCACGACGUUACUAAGAAUUUUCUCUAAUGUGCCACAAUAAAAAAACGUAAUCAUUUCUUCACUUAAUCAUCAGUCGCCUCCUAAUUAAAAUGUGUUAAUUAUUUUUUUAUAAUUGAAUUCAGAGGCCACUUGAAAUGUUCCCAAUUUUUUGCAACAAUAAGUAGUGUUGUUUUCUUGUUGACAAAUCAAGGCAAAGUUGUUCUUGAGCUGCAAGGAGGAUUUAGGAUUGGUCCGCCGAUAAGUCGGCACAAUUAUGGAAGAAUGUGAACAUGUGAUUUGUUUAUGAAAAAAUAAAUGAAUAAAAUGUAAUAACAGUU